rnacentral:lncRNA from 1 species
AAAUCCUCUGAACACGGACAACAGCAAAAUGCUCCCAUACCUAUAUUUUCCCAAUAUAUCCAGAAAAAAAUACACAAUAUAAGGAUCAAGCCCAACCAAUAAAAUAAUUACAUCAAAUAAAUAAAACGAUUGUACUUGAAGCCAAAUACUCAGGAUCCUAAAUUACCUCUUUAACAGCUUUUAGAGGAAGAGAAAGAACUUCUAACUUCAGCAAUUACUGUACAGAACCUUACGCAGGGACACGAAAUUUGAACAAAAAGUAUGCUAUUGUUUAUACAUCUAUAUUCAAACAAAAGAUGGAAGCUGAUAGUGUAAACAAAUAGAUGUUUUAAUAACAUUCAGCACAUGAUGGGCCAGCUAACAUCAAACCCAUCAAAUUAUUGACAAGAUGGUAGAGUGUCAUCAGCUUCAUCUUAGGUGUGCCUCAGGAGUAUGAUCUUCUUUUGGGCCAACGAGUAAGAUGAAAGAAUUAGUUGGCUACAUCAAAAUAGGGAUAUAUGCAAACAAACCAACUGUGCUUAGGAUUCAGGCAUNNN